AGCACAAUUGCUGGAUCAUAUGGUAAGAGUAUAUUUAUUUUUAUAAGAAACUACCAAGCUGCCUUCCAAAGUGAAUGUACCAUUUUACAUUCCCACCAGCAAU
rnacentral:pre_miRNA from 1 species